rnacentral:rRNA from 1 species
GUGAAAGGCCAAUCAAACCGGGAGAUAGCUGGUUCUCCCCGAAAUCUAUUUAGGUAGAGCCUCGGACGAACACCAUUGGGGGUAGAGCACUGUUAAGGCUAGGGGGUCAUCCCGACUUACCAACCCUUUGCAAACUCCGAAUACCAAUGAGUACUAUCCGGGAGACAGACUGCGGGUGCUAACGUCCGUAGUCAAGAGGAAAACAAUCCAGA